CUGACUCUCUUCUCUGACUCUCAGUCCCUCCUGGAUUUGGUUGCCCAUUUGGGAAGGUUGAAAGUGUUAAUCAUUAAGUCAUGUCCAGCUCUUUCCAACCCCAUGGACCAUAGUCCACCAGGCUCCUCUGUCCAUGGAAUUCUCUAGGCAAGAAUACUGGAGGUGGUAGCCAUUCCCUUCUCCAGGGGAUCUUCCUGACUUGAGGAUUGAACCCAGGUCUCCUGCAUUGCGGGCAGAUUCUUUACUAUCUGAGCCACCAGGAAAGCAUUAUUUUAUUACUAUUGAAAGUCCACCACCGUGGGGAUUCUGUUUCCCACAUCUGGAUCCACACAGCCCGGGGCAGAAUUGAGUGUAGAAUGUGAUUUCUUAAAGCACCAGAACAGCAUUGAGCCAAACAGGAGAACUUCCAAGACCAUCCACACCUCUCCCUUCACCUCCUCUGGGAAGUUCUAUCUGCUGUGGCGAGCCUGGCUCAAGGGUUCAAUUGUACAUUCAAAAUGUUAUGAUUCAGAAAUCGUAGGCAUCUAGGUAGGUGUGUGAAUCAGACAUAAAGGUGGCUCCUUAAUGACAAGGUUACCAGCCUCGCACCCCUGAAAAUGAACUCGGCCUGCAAACGCCCCUUGGGACAGGCAGAAGCAGAAGCUGAACUCUGGACCGCUGGCAGAGGGUGAUGGGAAGCCCAGAGUCUUCCUCUGUGGAUGGGAUCUGCCGGAAUCGCGCUGAGGGCAAGCGUUCCAGAGAACGUUCUCCGAUGUGGCACCGAUAGCAUUGAGGUUUCCUGUCGACGGCGGUUCCCCCCGCAUCUGUUCUAGGAAAAGCACGCGAAGCAGCUGCUUAUUUUCAAUCUGAUCAGGCUCCCCCGGCACUUCUCAAUUUCAGAGAGACGGUUUUUUCCACAGAACCUGGGUUUUCCAGUGGCGUCUAACUUUGCGGUCCUUGAUACACUUUCUGCUGUUGAUGAUAGAAAAAACAGGUGAACUGCUAAGUUUCACUCCAGCUGUCCACUGACUCUUUUUACCCUCAGUAAACUAAAUCAGCUCCCUGUAUUCCUUCCUAGAACAAAGGCGAUCAGCUCCUUUCGAACAAGAGGUGAUAAGCAAUGCAUUCUCCUUUGCCAUAGACACUCACCCAUUUCACCCGGAAACUUCUGUGCAGUUGACUCAGGAAAAAUAGAUUCCCUUUCUCCUAAAUGAGUCCUGAGUUUCACAAGUCUCCUGUCGGAAGUAGCCCAGUUAGCCAGCAUUUCUCUCUGUGGUGCUGAAAACCG
rnacentral:tRNA from 1 species